rnacentral:tRNA from 1 species
GCACUGGUAGUUUAGUGGUAGAAUUCGUCCCUGCCACGGACGGGACCCGGGUUCGAAUCCCGGCCAGUGCA